rnacentral:rRNA from 1 species
AGUGAACGCUGGCGGUAGGCCUAACACAUGCAAGUCGAACGGCAGCACAGUAAGAGCUUGCUCUUACGGGUGGCGAGUGGCGGACGGGUGAGGAAUACAUCGGAAUCUACUUUUUCGUGGGGGAUAACGUAGGGAAACUUACGCUAAUACCGCAUACGACCUACGGGUGAAAGCAGGGGAUCUUCGGACCUUGCGCGAUUGAAUGAGCCGAUGUCGGAUUAGCUAGUUGGCGGGGUAAAGGCCCACCAAGGCGACGAUCCGUAGCUGGUCUGAGAGGAUGAUCAGCCACACUGGAACUGAGACACGGUCCAGACUCCUACGGGAGGCAGCAGUGGGGAAUAUUGGACAAUGGGCGCAAGCCUGAUCCAGCCAGACCGCGUGUGUGAAGAAGGCGUUCGGGUUGUAAAGACCUUUUGUUGGGAAAGAAAAGCAGCAGGUUAAUACCCCGCUGUUCUGACGGUACCCAAAGAAUAAGCACCGGCUAACUUCGUG